rnacentral:rRNA from 1 species
CCCUUAGAUGUUCUGGGCAGCACGCGCGCUACAAUGGUCUUCGCAAACGGAUGCAUUCUCGAAGGAGAAUGCCAAUCUUGGAAUCUAUGCCUUGGUCGGGACAGUUGCUUGCAAUUUUUCGACUCGAACCAGGCAUUCCUUGUAAUCGUGAUUCAUCACAUCACGAUGAAUACGUCCCUGCCCUUUGUACACACCGCCCGUCGCUCCUACCGAUCGAAGAGUUAGGUGAAUUGUUUUGAUCGAUAAGAUUUGACUAUGGUCAACUCUCGUUGUGAAAUUCUGUGAAUCUGACUGUUUAGAGGAAGGAAAAGUCGUAACA